UGUGACUUGCACAGCCUUCCAUAAACACUUCCUGUAAAGAGAGCCCUAUUUAGGCUUUCUUUAUUGCAAGUUCUGUUUAAUUAAGAUUUUCUUAUCCCCUGCUAUGUUAAUAGCUUGCUAGACCCUGCAAGAGCCUCCUGUAUAUGAUUAAAGUUCAAUUUAGAGAUUGAGAUACAAUUAUUUAAGGUAAAUUACAUUUGUUUGAAAGUGAAACCAG